rnacentral:lncRNA from 1 species
UCCUUUUUCUUAUUUAUACUCUUCUUCAAAAUCUACAUACUAUGUGGUACAAGGGAUUCCCAGCAUCUCGUAGAAAAAGAGUAUGUAAUGUAGAAUUUAAUGAAGAGUAUUUGACUUUCAUUAUUUUGAUUUUGUUUUUUUAUUGGAGUAGUAGGACUAUUUUACUAUUGAUAGAUUUCACUACCAUAAGACAUAAGACGUAUCAAUAGUUUUAUAUUCUAAAUAAAAAGAAAGUAAAAUUUGUCUAAAUACUAGACAUAAGGAAGCAG